GAUGAACGCUGGCGGCGUGCCUAAUACAUGCAAGUCGAGCGAACAGACGAGGAGCUUGCUCCUCUGACGUUAGCGGCGGACGGGUGAGUAACACGUGGAUAACCUACCUAUAAGACUGGGAUAACUUCGGGAAACCGGAGCUAAUACCGGAUAAUAUAUUGAACCGCAUGGUUCAAUAGUGAAAGACGGUUUUGCUGUCACUUAUAGAUGGAUCCGCGCCGCAUUAGCUAGUUAGUAAGGUAACGGCUUACCAAGGCAACGAUGCGUAGCCGACCUGAGAGGGUGAUCGGCCACACUGGAAAUGAGACACGGUCCAGACUCCUACGGGAGGCAGCAGUAGGGAAUCUUCCGCAAUGGGCGAAAGCCUGACGGAGCAACGCCGCGUGAGUGAUGAAGGUCUUCGGAUCGUAAAACUCUGUUAUUAGGGAAGAACAAAUGUGUAAGUAACUAUGCACGUCUUGACGGUACCUAAUCAGAAAGCCACGGCUAACUACGUG
rnacentral:rRNA from 1 species